ACGGGUGAGUAAUGUCUGGGGAUCUGCCCGAUAGAGGGGGAUAACCACUGGAAACGGUGGCUAAUACCGCAUAACGUCGCAAGACCAAAGAGGGGGACCUUCGGGCCUCUCACUAUCGGAUGAACCCAGAUGGGAUUAGCUAGUAGGCGGGGUAAUGGCCCACCUAGGCGACGAUCCCUAGCUGGUCUGAGAGGAUGACCAGCCACACUGGAACUGAGACACGGUCCAGACUCCUACGGGAGGCAGCAGUGGGGAAUAUUGCACAAUGGGCGCAAGCCUGAUGCAGCCAUGCCGCGUGUAUGAAGAAGGCCUUCGGGUUGUAAAGUACUUUCAGCGGGGAGGAAGGCGAUAAGGUUAAUAACCUUGUCGAUUGACGUUACCCGCAGAAGAAGCACCGGCUAACUCCGUGCCAGCAGCCGCGGUAAUACGGAGGGUGCAAGCGUUAAUCGGAAUUACUGGGCGUAAAGCGCACGCAGGCGGUCUGUUAAGUCAGAUGUGAAAUCCCCGGGCUUAACCUGGGAACUGCAUUUGAAACUGGCAGGCUUGAGUCCCGUAGAGGGGGGUAGAAUUCCAGGUGUA
rnacentral:rRNA from 1 species